UACGUAGGGUCCGAGCGUUGUCCGGAAUUACUGGGCGUAAAGAGCUUGUAGGCGGUUUGUCGCGUCUGCUGUGAAAUUUCGGGGCUCAACCCCGAACUUGCAGUGGGUACGGGCAGACUAGAGUGUGGUAGGGGAGACUGGAAUUCCUGGUGUAGCGGUGAAAUGCGCAGAUAUCAGGAGGAACACCGAUGGCGAAGGCAGGUCUCUGGGCCAUAACUGACGCUGAGAAGCGAAAGCUGGGGGAGCGAACAGGA
rnacentral:rRNA from 1 species